rnacentral:rRNA from 1 species
AUCUGGGCGGCGGAAUUCAGGAUAGCCGUACGAGUCUCGCGCUCGUCCGGUUGUUUGAUAUUUCCGUCGCCGUGUCAGACGUCGCGACCUGUUUGUCGUCGGUCCUUGCUCGGAGGAAUCGCGAUCGAGUUCGUUGCGGGUGCGUUUCGGCGUGCUCCGCGGCGAAGGCGCGUCUUUCUGGCUGACGACGGACAGUAAGCAACGGUGUCCGAUGUCGUGUCUCGCACUCGAUGUCGGUGCCGGUCAGCGACGAUUUCUUCGGGCCUCUUUCCGACCCGUCUUGAAACACGGACCAAGGAGUCUAACAUGCGCGCGAGUCGCGGGGUUUCGAGCGUACCACGGUGCGCUCGUUACUUCCGAAACCCGUACGUUGAAGGCGUAAUGAAAGUGAACAGGGAAGAUGGCGUUCCGAGUCCACGUACCGUGAUCGAGUAUCGCGGCCGGACGCCCGCAUUCCCGGGGCGUCUCAAUGGUUCGUCGCGGAUGCGGACGAUCGUCUUUCGGGGCGGUCGUCGGUCUGCGACGGUCCGA